rnacentral:lncRNA from 1 species
CGAGAAGGAUGAUCGACGAGCCAAUCAAGAUGCCCAACAGCACAACGAGGAACCACCGCAGCCCCAUAAAGAUCAUGGCCUCACCAGAGGACCUUGGCUCGGUCUCGUCCAAACGAAAAAUGUAGUACAAUGGCAUGGUGUGAGUGUCAGUUGGAGAAAAGCCGCGCUGCCAUCUUUUAUAGCCCGACCCUAGUUUACGG